UACGAGGGGGGCAAGCGUUGUUCGGAAUUAUUGGGCGUAAAGGGCGCGUAGGCGGUGCGGUAAGUCACCUGUGAAAACUCUGGGCUCAACUCAGAGCCUGCAGGCGAAACUGCCGUGCUGGAGUGUGGGAGAGGUGCGUGGAAUUCCCGGUGUAGCGGUGAAAUGCGUAGAUAUCGGGGGGAACACCUGUGGCGAAAGCGGCGCACUGGACCACAACUGACGCUGAGGCGCGAAAGCUAGGGGAGCAAACAGG
rnacentral:rRNA from 1 species